rnacentral:rRNA from 1 species
AUUGAACGCUGGCGGCAUGCUUUACACAUGCAAGUCGAACGGUAACAGGGAGCUUGCUCCGCUGACGAGUGGCGAACGGGUGAGUAAUAUAUCGGAACGUACCCAGAAGUGGGGGAUAACGUCGCGAAAGUUACGCUAAUCACGCAAACGAUACACGGAUGAAAGUAGGGGACCUGCGGGCCUUAUGCUUUUGGACCAGCCGAUAUCUGAUUAGCUAGUUUGUGAGGUAAAGGCUCACCAAGGCGACGAUCAGUAGCUGGUAUGAGAGGACGACCAGCCACACUGGAACUGAGACACGGUCCAGACUCCUACGGGAGGCAGCAGUGGGGAAUUUUGGAAAAUGGGCGCAAGCCUGAUCCAGCGAUGCCGCGUGCGUGAAGAAGGCCUUCGGGUUGUAAAGCUCUUUUGUCGGGGAAGAAACGGGAGUGGCUAAUAUACAUUCUUAAUGACGGUACCUGAAGAAUAAGCACCGGCUACCUACGUGCCAGCCGCCGCCGUAA